rnacentral:rRNA from 1 species
AUUGAACGCUGGCGGUAUGCCUUACACAUGCAAGUCGAACGGCAGCACGGGAGCUUGCUCCUGGUGGCGAGUGGCGAACGGGUGAGUAAAGUAUCGGAACAUGCCCUGAAGUGGGGGAUAACGUAGCGAAAGUUACGCUAAUACCGCAUAUUCUGUGAGCAGGAAAGCAGGGGGAUCGCAAGACCUUGCGCUUUAGGAGUGGCCGAUAUCGGAUUAGCUAGUUGGUGAGGUAAAGGCUCACCAAGGCGACGAUCCGUAGCGGGUCUGAGAGGAUGAUCCGCCACACUGGGACUGAGACACGGCCCAGACUCCUACGGGAGGCAGCAGUGGGGAAUUUUGGACAAUGGGCGCAAGCCUGAUCCAGCCAUGCCGCGUGAGUGAAGAAGGCUCGG